UACGGAGGGUGCAAGCGUUAUCCGGAUUCACUGGGUUUAAAGGGUGCGUAGGUUGACCGGGAAGUCAGUGGUGAAAUACUCUCGCUUAACGAGAGAACUGCCGUUGAUACUAUCGGUCUUGAAUACGGUGGAGGCGGGCGGAAUGUGUCAUGUAGUAGUGAAAUACUUAGAGAUGACACAGAACACCUAUUGCGAAGGCAGCUCGCUACGCCGUCAUUGACACUGAGGCACGAAAGCGUGGGGAUCAAACAGGAUUAGAUACCCUGGUAGUCCACGCCCUAAACGAUGUUCACUCGAUCUCAGCGAUACACUGUUGGGGUCUAUGCAAAAGCAUUAAGUGAACCACCUGGGGAGUACGAUCGCAAGAUUGAA
rnacentral:rRNA from 1 species